rnacentral:rRNA from 1 species
CCUACGGGUGGCAGCAGUGGGGAAUAUUGGGCAAUGGGCGCAAGCCUGACCCAGCAACGCCGCGUGAAGGAAGAAGGCUUUCGGGUUGUAAACUUCUUUUGUCAGGGAAGAGUAGAAGACGGUACCUGACGAAUAAGCCACGGCUAACUACGUGCCAGCAGCCGCGGUAAUACGUAGGUGGCAAGCGUUGUCCGGAUUUACUGGGUGUAAAGGGCGUGUAGCCGGGUUGACAAGUCAGAUGUGAAAUCCUGCGGCUUAACCGCAGAACUGCAUUUGAAACUGUUGAUCUUGAGUACUGGAGAGGCAGACGGAAAUCCGAGUGUAGCGGUGAAAUGCGGAGAUAUUAGGAGGAACACCAGGGGCGAAGGCGGUCUGCUGGACAGCAACGGACGGUGAGGCGCGAAAGCGUGGGGAGCAAACAGGAUUAGAUACCCGGGUAGUC